UUUCCGUAGGUGAACCUGCGGAGGGAUCAUUACAGGACUCGCAAGACUCCCGUAAACCACUGUGAACCUACCAUUGUUGCCUCGGCAGAGCCUACCCGGUAACUGUUCGGAGAAGCUACCCUGUAGCUACCCUGUAACGGCCUACCCUGUAACGCACUGCCGGUGGACUUUUAAACUCUUGUUAUUUUAUAGUAAUCUGAGCGUCUUAUUUUAAUAAGUCAAAACUUUCAACAACGGAUCUCUUGGUUCUGGCAUCGAUGAAGAACGCAGC
rnacentral:misc_RNA from 1 species